UGGGGAAUAUUGCACAAUGGGGGAAACCCUGAUGCAGCGACGCCGCGUGAGCGAUGAAGUAUUUCGGUAUGUAAAGCUCUAUCAGCAGGGAAGAAAAUGACGGUACCUGACUAAGAAGCCCCGGCUAACUACGUGCCAGCAGCCGCGGUAAUACGUAGGGGGCAAGCGUUAUCCGGAUUUACUGGGUGUAAAGGGAGCGUAGACGGAGAGGCAAGUCUGGAGUGAAAGCCCGGGGCUCAACCCCGGGACUGCUUUGGAAACUGUUUUUCCUAGAGUGUCGGAGAGGUAAGUGGAAUUCCUAGUGUAGCGGUGAAAUGCGUAGAUAUUGCGCAGAACUCCGAUUGCGAAGGCAGCGUACUGGCGCCUGACUGACGCUGAGGCACGAAAGCGUGGGGAUCGAACAGGAUUAGAUACCC
rnacentral:rRNA from 1 species